CAGGGAGGGAAGGAAGGCAUGAAGCCAAAGGAGAAGUUGGGCUGGGGUGCAAUCUGAACAGAGGCCUCGGCUGACCCUGGGUGAGGGUCUGAGGCAGGGACAAGGCAUUGGAGGAGGAGCAAGGGAAAACAGAACGUUCCUCUGCCACGCUGUGUGUCCCCUGGGGCUGGCGAUGAGUUCUGCAGACCUCUAAUCUCCAAACGCCGAGCUGCCCACAGCCCCCCGCUUUGGAGCCUGUGGGCAGCGAACAGUCAAAUCUAUUCGGACCUCCAAGGGUAAGACUGCGCCACCCAGGGGCACAAAUCAGGCAUUACUGCAUCUAUUUCAAAAGCCACAGCUCCGUGCCUAAGAUGCACGCAUGACAUACGAGUCCCAAGAACAUCUCCCGGCAAGUUUGCUGGGUUUCGUAUUUCAAACCUGGUGCAAAUUGCAUGUUCCUUCAAACAGCUGCGGUUCGAGCUGCUGGUCAAUCUCAGCCUCGCGUGAAGGCAAAGCGACAGAGACGGGGUGGGAUCCAGGAGCAAUACCUCGUCGUGGGCACCUGCAGAGCGUAAGCGUGCAGACACGGAGGCUGCAAAGCAAUGAAUGCCUCUGUGAGGUAAGGGGCUGGGCCCGGCAGCUGGGGGAGUCCCGCCAUCGUCAGCAGUCGACGGUCUGUCUGCUGUUCCACCUGCCACGCUUGGCUUCCGGCACGCUGUGCCUGUCACGUGGCCCGGAGGCAGUCCCCUUGAAGUCCCCAGAUGCUGGCUCUCCCACCUCUGUUCUUGUGUGACACAGAGGUGUGGCUACGCGUGGGGGAGCCCAGAGCUGUGGGGAGAAAUCAGAAAUGCGGCCAAGAGGGAGCACGUCCAGGAAAAGCCACGGUUUGCCCCCCGCCAGGCCAUCCUACACCGGUCGGACUCUUCCUCCAGGGUUUGGAAAAACCGAGCAGCCACAAGAGGCUCCCAGGUGUCCCAUCUGCCGCCUUUCCUCCCGGGGGGAAUCUCAGGAAGGUCUGGUGGCCGCAGCCGUGACCUCCAUCACCACGCGCCCACGAGUGUGAACGGUCACAGCUGUGGCCCCCGCACACACCAGGCUUCACUGCAGCAUCCCCUCCCCGUCCCCAUCCCAACAC